rnacentral:rRNA from 1 species
UACGUAGGGUGCAAGCGUUAAUCGGAAUUACUGGGCGUAAAGCGAGUGCAGACGGUUAUUUAAGCAAGAUGUGAAAUCCCCGAGCUUAACUUGGGAACUGCGUUUUGAACUGGGUAGCUAGAGUGUGUCAGAGGGGGGUAGAAUUCCACGUGUAGCAGUGAAAUGCGUAGAGAUGUGGAGGAAUACCGAUGGCGAAGGCAGCCCCCUGGGAUAACACUGACGUUCAUACUCGAAAGCGUGGGUAGCAAACA